CCUACGGGAGGCAGCAGUGGGGAAUAUUGGACAAUGGGCGAAAGCCUGAUCCAGCAAUUCCGCGUGUGUGAAGAAGGCCUUCGGGUUGUAAAGCACUUUAGUGGGGGAAGAAACAGCUUGGCCACACCAAGCCUUGACGGUACCCCAAGAAUAAGCACCGGCUAACUCUGUGCCAGCAGCCGCGGUAAUACAGAGGGUGCAAGCGUUAAUCGGAUUUACUGGGCGUAAAGGGUGCGUAGGUGGCUAUUUAAGUCGGAUGUGAAAGCCCGGGGCUCAACCUCGGAAUUGCAUUCGAUACUGAGUGGCUAGAGUUCGGUAGAGGGCGGCGGAAUUUCCGGUGUAGCGGUGAAAUGCGUAGAUAUCGGAAGGAACAUCAAUGGCGAAGGCAGCCGCCUGGGCCUGGACUGACACUGAGGCACGAAAGCGUGGGUAGCAAACAGGAUUAGAUACCCUGGUAGUCCACGCCGUAAACGAUGAGAACUUGACGUUGGUUCGUUUUACGAAUCGGUGUCGCNGCUACGACGAUAAGUUACUCCGUCCGUCGGGUAGGUACGGCCGGCCGAACGGUUAGGUAAACGUAACGAAACGGAAAGUUAGUACGGCGUGAGACGUGCCGAACGGACGACCGACCGAGGGAGGUAGG
rnacentral:rRNA from 1 species